CCCUGGUUGGCUCAGUUGGUACACGCUCCUCCUGUAAUGGAGAGGUCCCGGGUUCGAUACCCGGACCAGGCG
rnacentral:tRNA from 2 species